UACGAGGGGGGCAAGCGUUGUUCGGAAUUACUGGGCGUAAAGCGUGCGUAGACGGUUUUGUAAGUCGGAUGUGAAAUCCCCGGGCUCAACCUGGGAAUUGCAUUCGAGACUGCAAGGCUUGGGUGCGGAAGAGGGAAGCGGAAUUUCCGGUGUAGCGGUGAAAUGCGUAGAUAUCGGAAGGAACAUCAGUGGCGAAAGCGGCUUCCUGGUCCAGCACCGACGUUCAGGCACGAAAGCGUGGGGAGCAAACAGG
rnacentral:rRNA from 1 species